AGAUAAUAACAGGACUGGGAGUCUGUUUAGGAGAGGUGCUGUGUUAUAGAUAAUAACAGGGCUGGGAGUCUGUUUAGGAGGGGUGCUGUGUUAUAGAUAAUAACAGGACUGGGAGUCUGUUUAGGAGGGGUGCUGUGUUAUAGAUAAUAACAGGACUGGGAGUCUGUUUAGGAGAGGUGCUGUGUUAUAGAUAAUAACAGGACUGGGAGUCUGUUUAGGAGGGGUGCUGUGUUAUAGAUAAUAACAGGACUGGGAGUCUGUUUAGGAGAGGUGCUGUGUUAUAGAUAAUAACAGGACUGGGAGUCUGUUUAGGAGGGGUGCUGUGUUAUAGAUAAUAACAGGACUGGGAGUCUGUUUAGGAGAGGUGCUGUGUUAUAGAUAAUAACAGGACUGGGAGUCUGUUUAGGAGAGGUGCUGUGUUAUAGAUAAUAACAGGACUGGGAGUCUGUUUAGGAGAG